UUCCCCCAACCGGAAAUCCGUCUGCACCACACGGAGGCCCAGUUACUGCUGGCCGCGGGACUUUUGGAGUGUGGUCGAGGUCCCUGGCCCCAGGUGAUCCAGAAGACUUGGUGAAAUUGUGGAGCACAGGGAGGAAAAAGCCUUGGUUUCUUAACCACAGUGCGGAAGCUUAUCUACAGACACGGUACAACGGAAGUCCAGGUUAUUUCAGAGUCAACUUCAUCAGUGAAUGAAA